ensembl:lncRNA
AUGAUUGCUGCCGAAUCGCGUUCAAUGGUUCCCGGCGUGCAUGUCGACCUGGUGCCGGUGGAGCAGCUGCUGGGUGCCGCUCAGCGAGACCCCCCAGUCCCCGGAGGUGACGUUCGGCAGUCUUUCGCUCAGCCAGGCCACCUCCUCCUCCAGGUCUCUGUAGAACUGGAACAGAACCUGCCGGGCCUCCAGGGUGUCCCUUCGGCUCUGCAGGGGCUCUGCCAGACUGUUGUACCUGGCGGGGAGGAGCUACUGGUGAGAUGUUGGGUAACGAGAGUUCAGCAGCACUCAGCUUGUUUUAUUUGGUAUUCAGCUUUUGUUGCAGUAAAGUGGACCUCCACCUCCAACGAAGAACAAGAGAUCCACACAAGUAUUUGGAAUAAAAACAAAGAAUACUAUAUCUCAGAGGAAGUUCCCCUGAGAGUGGAAGCCCUUCGCCGUUUCCACCAGAGCCUGAAACACAAGACAAUAAACAGGAUCCACCAACCGAUCAACCAUCACCGGCCCUCGGACGUAGAGGUGGCAGAGAGGGGGCGGGGCUUACCUGGACUCUGUCCCGGUGUCCGUCCACUUCCUCCUCCAGGCCCUGCAGAGCCUUCAGCAGCCUGUUGACGGAGGGCAGGUCGCUGCCCUGCUCCUCCUGCAUCAGCUCCCUCUCCACGGAGCCCACGCACCGCUCCAUGUCGUCCAGGGAGCGCUGGAACUGCAGCGCCUGAACGCACACGACGCACACGAUGCACACAACGCACACAACGCACACGCUGACUUUCUAGUGAGCGUCUCCUCUGCACUUUUCACAGAACCACUGAAUCAAUCAGGGAGAUUUAAAGGGACGGUGUGUGAGAUUUAGUGACAUCUAAGACUACAGUAAUCCCACAUGCAUGUGUGUGUGUGUGUGUGUGUGUGUGUGUGUGUGUACCUGGUAGGCCUCCUGCAGUCUGCUCCUCUUCUCCUUACAGAGGUGGAUGAGAGCCUCCCAGCUGUCCCUCAGUUCUCUGAGACGAAGCCCAACCUUCACCUCCGAGAGCAGCUCCUCUGCUUCCUGUGCACACACACACACACACACACGCGCGCGCACACACACACACACACAGGUAAUACUAUAUAAUCAGUGUUUCCUAUACAUUCUAACAGGGAGCACCAGAGCGACUAUAUGUAUAUUAUGAUCGUCAUCAUAAUAGAGUGUAAACCUUGGUGAGCGCGUCCACUCGGGAGCGGUUGGCGUGGAUCUCGGCCUCGAAGCUCUGAUGUUUGAGCAGUUUGGCCUGAAGGUUGGUUGGUUCCUUCCAGUUCUCAUCCAGAGCUACGGCGCUACGCUCACUGAGCCACACACACACCUGAGGACACACGCACGCACGUUACCACAUGCACGCACAAACACACACACAGUACAGUCUGAUGGAUUCACUACCUCGUAGCUGCUGGACAAGAACUGCUGCAGCUUCAGGGAUUCAUCCAGAGCUUUGUGACGACAUCUGCUCUGCUGCUGCAGCUGGCUCCUCCUACAGACAGACAGGUGAGGAGACAGAGAGACAGGCAGGUGAUGAUGUCAUAUCCUGUCCUCACCUAGCGCCCAGCGCUCUGAUCUUGGCUGCGAUGUUGUCCGAGUCGUAGUGUUUCUGUUGGAUCAUCUUCAGGCCCAGUUUCUCCACCUGGUCCACCUGGUCCAGCUGAGCCUCCAGGGCCUCCUCGAACUGAGCCUGCUUCCUCUGCAGAGAUUCCACCUCCUGCACCGAGCUCUGCACACACCACAGAGGAAGAGGAAUAAGAAGAAAUGGAAGAGGAAGAAAAUAAAAAUUAAGAGGAUAACAAAGAGGAAGAAGAGGACAAAGAAGAACAUGAUGAGGCGCUGGAGCUGAACAGGUUCAUCUCCUCUUCAUCUGAAGGAUGCUGGUUCUCACCCCGACCUCCCGGCUGCUGAGCAGAACCUCCUUGUUGGUGAACCAGGUCUCACGUUGGUCUACAGCAUCCAGGAACUCCUGCAGGAUGAAGACUAUGAUCACAUCUCAGUCCUCCUCAUCCGGGUUCUUAAUGUCUUGAUAUGAAACUUGGUGUUGUGCUGUGAGUUUAUGCCAUGAGAAAUGUAUUGACAUAAUAUUCUGUAUUUCAUUUAUUUUUAAGUGUUAUUCAUGUGUUGAGCCUACUGAUGAAAGAAUCGCAUUAGAUACACGUUUGCAGUAUUAAGAUUAAGUCUGAGAGACACUUGCUUUUUUCUGCUCCCCCUUCACAAUAAAAGCCGUGACAUGCUUUUAUUGUGAAGUGGUCUCAGUCAACUUGCAGAUGCAGGAGGCUCUGUGGUACAGAUCCACAUACAGAGACACACGUUUUAAAGUAUCCUCACCUGCAGGACUCGAGCCUGUUCCAGGGUGGUGCUCCGGUUGCGCCAGGCCCGGUCCAGUCCAGCCUUUGCUUCCUCCAGCUGGCUCAGGGCUUUCUGGAUCUCCGGCCCAGAGCCGUGGCCCGACCGGAUCAGACCCAGGCCGAAGUCCCGGACAGAGUCGACGCGCUCGGCCCGGGCCUCCAUCUCCGUCUGCGGCGACACGGUUUACGAGUGAUUCACUAAAAGCAAAAGAGCUCCAUGGCAACCGGACCGGGCCCCGACGGCUCUCACCUUCCGAU